AAUAAAAAGAGUAUAUUAGGUUUAACUUUCUAUAUUAUUUUUAUUAAAUUAAUAAUUCAAAACCUUUGAAUGUAAUUCUAGAUAAAAUAUUGAUAAUGACAAAGUUUUAUCUAUAUGUCUUGACCAAAUCUUGUGCCAGCAGUCGCGGCAACACAAGGAAGACAAGUGUUAUUCAUCUUAAAUCGGUUUAAAGGGUACCUAGACGGUAAAUUAGGCCUUAAUUGGUACGUUUUUACUAGAGUUAUACAUGCAUGAGGAAUAUGUGAGUAUUACCAGAGUAGAGAUGAAAUUUUUUGAUACUGUUAAGACUGGUAAAGGCAAAAGCAAACCUUUAUAUAUUAACUGACGUUGAGGGACGAAGGCUUGGGGAGCAAACAGGAUUAGAUACCCUAAUAGUCCAGGCAGAGAAUUA
rnacentral:rRNA from 1 species